CAAGGCCCACCAAAAUACUUGUACGGACCCACUCAAGGGAACGUACCGAAACCUACUUGGACAUGAAGGCUACUUUGCAACGCGCGUAGGCUUCAUGGACUUCCUGAAGACUAGUCAGGUCAAAAGGAAACUACUCUACCGAGUUAGAGUAUGACUCUGUAACGAACUCGACUAGGACUUGUACACAAUCCACCAUGUAACCCUACUCCCCCGACUAUAUAAGGGCGGGCAGGGACCCCCUCCAAAUAAGAAGAACAACUUGACACAAGUUCAAUACAACCAACACACAGGACGUAGGGUAUUACACGAUCUAGCAGCCCGAACCUGUCUAAAUCGUUUUCCUUGCAUCACCAUCGACUCCUUGAUUCUCGAUGACACCC
rnacentral:lncRNA from 1 species